rnacentral:lncRNA from 1 species
AGGGCAUUACGACGUCAGAAGAUGGAAAGUGGUUUAUGAAUGGGAUUUAUAUGGUAAGAUGCAAAUGUGCCCCUGCUGUGAUUUCAAUGAUGGGCUAGAGAAAUCCUAACAUUUAUGGAACCCGAAUAUGUGCCAGGCACUCAAGGCUUCGGGCCCUGGAGACACCUGUCGCAGGGAAUGCCGGGCUGGGACGUUGGCUGCACACCCUGAAACCCAGCCACAGGCGCAGAAGCUACCACCUCUAAGAAUCACAGUGACACCUGCUGAGGGACCAGGACCAGGACUCCUUUCCCUGCUGGUGGCUCCCCGGGAGGCGGCCUCUGGAGUAGCCCUCAGGGGACUGCCUUGUGAAUAUUCAUGAUUCGUACUUUUCCCUGGUUCUCCCUCUGCCUUCGAGUACAGACCUUACAAAUAAGGAAUACUUCAUAUCACCUGGAUAUAGUGCUGAGCAACAUUUCUUGGACGUUCAUUAUCAUCCUGUACCACAUUUUGGUGUGUGAUGAUUGGCAUCUUAUUCAGCAGAAUGAUUCCACAUUGUGUGAAGCCCAGGGAUUUAGGAUGUAUGCAGAACUGGAUCUAAUCAUCCCAAUUCUAUUUCGUAUGUUGAAUUAUGCCAUGAUAAGCCACACAACAACCAAGUGAGGAUCCUGGUUUUGGCUCCCUCUUUGCAUCAUUUCCCACUACCUCCCCACAUCUGAGGCAUUAUUCUUUGCCGUCUUGCACUGGACUUCCAUUUUUUCCC